rnacentral:snRNA from 1 species
AGGGAUGUCAAAAUCGGUCAAAA